rnacentral:rRNA from 1 species
CGUGGGUAACCUACCCAUCAGGGGGGAGUAACACUUGGAAACAGGUGCUAAUACCGCAUAACAGUUUAUGCCGCAUGGCAUAAGAGUGAAAGGCGCUUUCGGGUGUCGCUGAUGGAUGGACCCGCGGUGCAUUAGCUAGUUGGUGAGGUAACGGCUCACCAAGGCCACGAUGCAUAGCCGACCUGAGAGGGUGAUCGGCCACACUGGGACUGAGACACGGCCCAG